UACGUAGGGUGCAAGCGUUAAUCGGAAUUACUGGGCGUAAAGCGUGCGCAGGCGGUUCUAUAAGACAGAUGUGAAAUCCCCGGGCUCAACCUGGGAACUGCAUUCGAGACUGCAUGGCUAGGGUGCGAAGAGGGAAGCGGAAUUUCCGGUGUAGCGGUGAAAUGCGUAGAUAUCGGAAGGAACACCAGUGGCGAAAGCGGCUUCCUGGUCCAGCACCGACGUUCAGGCACGAAAGCGUGGG
rnacentral:rRNA from 1 species